CAGCCGCCGCGGGAAAACCGAGGGUGCAAGCGUUAAUCGGAAUUACUGGGCGUAAAGCGCGCGUAGGUGGUUUGUUAAGUUGGAUGUGAAAUCCCCGGGCUCAACCUGGGAACUGCAUCCAAAACUGGCAAGCUAGAGUAUGGUAGAGGGUGGUGGAAUUUCCUGUGUAGCGGUGAAAUGCGUAGAUAUAGGAAGGAACACCAGUGGCGAAGGCGACCAACUGGACUGAUACUGACACUGAGGUGCGAAAGCGUGGGGAGCAAACAGGAUUAGAUACCCCUGUAGUCCCUGUCUCUUAUAC
rnacentral:rRNA from 1 species